UACACAUGCAAGUCGAACGGUGAAGCAGACGUUUNGCUCUGGUUGGAUCAGUGGCGAACGGGUGAGUAACACGUGAGCAACCUGCCCCUGACUCUGGGAUAAGCGCUGGAAACGGCGUCUAAUACCGGAUAUGAGCUGCGAUCGCAUGGUCAGCAGUUGGAAAGAUUUUUCGGUCUGGGAUGGGCUCACGGCCUAUCAGCUUGUUGGUGAGGUAAUGGCUCACCAAGGCGUCGACGGGUAGCCGGCCUGAGAGGGUGACCGGCCACACUGGGACUGAGACACGGCCCAGACUCCUACGGGAGGCAGCAGUGGGGAAUAUUGCACAAUGGGCGAAA
rnacentral:rRNA from 1 species